rnacentral:rRNA from 1 species
GACGAACGCUGGCGGCGUGCUUAACACAUGCAAGUCGAACGGAAAGGCCUCUUUCGGGGGGUACUCGAGUGGCGAACGGGUGAGUAACACGUGAGUAACCUGCCCUUGACUUUGGGAUAACUUCAGGAAACUGGGGCUAAUACCGGAUAGGAGCUCCUGCUGCAUGGUGGGGGUUGGAAAGUUUCGGCGGUUGGGGAUGGACUCGCGGCGUAUCAGCUUGUUGGUGGGGUAGUGGCUUACCAAGGCUUUGACGGGUAGCCGGCCUGAGAGGGUGACCGGCCACAUUGGGAGUGAGAUACGGCCCAGACUCCUACGGGAGGGAGCAGUGGGGAAUAUUGCACAAUGGGGGGAAGCCUGAUGCAGCAACGCCGUGUGCGGGAUGACGGCCUUCGGGUUGUAAACCGCUUUCGCUCAUGACGAAGCGUUGUGUGACGGUAGUGGGUAAAGAAGCACCGGCUAACUACGUGC